rnacentral:rRNA from 1 species
UACGGGGGGGGGCGAGCGUUGUUCGGAAUUAUUGGGCGUAAAGGGCGCGUAGGCGGCUUUGCAAGUGACGGGUGAAAUCCCUCGGCUUAACCGAGGAACUGCCUGUCAAACUGCAUGGCUUGAGACCGGGAGAGGUGAGUGGAAUUCCCAGUGUAGCGGUGAAAUGCGUAGAUAUGCGGAGGAACACCGAUGGCGAAGGCAAUCCCCUGGGCCUGCACUGACGCUCAUGCACGAAAGCGUGGGGAGCAAACAGG